ensembl:snRNA U1 U1 spliceosomal RNA
AAACUGGCAGGGGAGAUAGCAUGAUCAUGAAGGUGGAUUUCCCAGGGUGGAGCUUAUGCAUUGCACUCAGGAUGUGCUGACCCCUGCAAUUUCCCCAAAUGUGGGAAACUUGGCUGCAUAAUUUGUGGUAGUGGGGGACUGCGUUUGUGCUCUCCCACA